AUUUAUUUCAUUUAUUCACCAGAUAGUUUUAGUACUGUUUUAGGUAUUGGGGAUAUACCAAGGAAUAAAACAAGAUUCCUGGAGGGAGAGGGGAACGGACAGCAAACAAUAGACACAAUACGAUCGUGAGGUAUAUAGUUAAUGUUGGUGAUGAGUGCUCCUCAAAGGAAACAACUAAAACCAGACAAGGGAAGUCGGGGUGUCAGGGAGAAUGGUUUGUAGUAUUGAUGACAAUGGUUAAGGAAGGCCUGAGUUCUGCAAAGACCUCAAGGAUAUGAGGGACUAGAGUGCCCUCUGCUGUGGAAGAGCCUGCGCAAAGAUCCUGAGGUGGGAGGGGUCAGGGAGCCAACUCAUUUUACGGUAAGUGGAGGUGGGAUCCAGGGGAGGAUUCUGAGCAGAGGAGGGACGUGGCCCAAUUUGGGCUUUGAAAGGAUCCUGCUUGUCUGUGUGCCAGCAUCCUGGUGGUGGUUGGGGGAGUCUGCAUCAAUCCUGGGUGCUGUUACCUGAAAAAAUAGCAGGUGUUAGACGAAAGAACAGAUGUCUGGCCCAUUGUCUCCAGUCUGUUCCUGUCCACAGCUUCCCUUUAUGCUGAGCCCCUGCCACAUGCAUCAUCAUCCUGGCCAUGUGGCAUUGUCACAGACCGUCUCUCCUGCUAGCCUCCUAACUCAGGGCCUGGGUCUUCCCCAGCAUUAAGUAAAUCAGUCUCAGGCAGACAGCCCUUUAUAGGUGUUUGGGCCAGGUGCGGUGGCUCACGCCUGUAAUCCCAGCUCUUUGUGGGGCCGAGGUCUUUGAGCUCAGGAGUUCAAGACCAGCCUGGGCAGCAUGACAAAACCCUGUCUCUACCAAAAAUACAAAAAUUAGCCACGCAUGGUGGCACACACCUGUGGUCCCAGCUACUCGGGAGGCUGAGGUGGGAGGAUCGCUGGAGCCUGGGAAGUUGAGGCUGCAGUGAGCCGUGAUCAUGCCACUGCAUUCCAGCCUGUGUGAUGGAGAGAGACCCUGUCUCAAAAAAAA
rnacentral:lncRNA from 10 species